GGUUAAGCGACUAAGCGUACACGGUGGAUGCCCUGGCAGUCAGAGGCGAUGAAGGACGUGCUAAUCUGCGAUAAGCGUCGGUAAGGUGAUAUGAACCGUUAUAACCGGCGAUUUCCGAAUGGGGAAACCCAGUGUGUUUCGACACACUAUCAUUAACUGAAUCCAUAGGUUAAUGAGGCGAACCGGGGGAACUGAAACAUCUAAGUACCCCGAGGAAAAGAAAUCAACCGAGAUUCCCCCAGUAGCGGCGAGCGAACGGGGAGGAGCCCAGAGCCUGAAUCAGUGUGUGUGUUAGUGGAAGCGUCUGGAAAGGCGCGCGAUACAGGGUGACAGCCCCGUACACAAAAAUGCACAUACUGUGAGCUCGAUGAGUAGGGCGGGACACGUGGUAUCCUGUCUGAAUAUGGGGGGACCAUCCUCCAAGGCUAAAUACUCCUGACUGACCGAUAGUGAACCAGUACCGUGAGGGAAAGGCGAAAAGAACCCCGGCGAGGGGAGUGAAAAAGAACCUGAAACCGUGUACGUACAAGCAGUGGGAGCACGCUUAGGCGUGUGACUGCGUACCUUUUGUAUAAUGGGUCAGCGACUUAUAUUCUGUAGCAAGGUUAACCGAAUAGGGGAGCCGAAGGGAAACCGAGUCUUAACUGGGCGUUAAGUUGCAGGGUAUAGACCCGAAACCCGGUGAUCUAGCCAUGGGCAGGUUGAAGGUUGGGUAACACUAACUGGAGGACCGAACCGACUAAUGUUGAAAAAUUAGCGGAUGACUUGUGGCUGGGGGUGAAAGGCCAAUCAAACCGGGAGAUAGCUGGUUCUCCCCGAAAGCUAUUUAGGUAGCGCCUCGUGAAUUCAUCUCCGGGGGUAGAGCACUGUUUCGGCAAGGGGGUCAUCCCGACUUACCAACCCGAUGCAAACUGCGAAUACCGGAGAAUGUUAUCACGGGAGACACACGGCGGGUGCUAACGUCCGUCGUGAAGAGGGAAACAACCCAGACCGCCAGCUAAGGUCCCAAAGUCAUGGUUAAGUGGGAAACGAUGUGGGAAGGCCCAGACAGCCAGGAUGUUGGCUUAGAAGCAGCCAUCAUUUAAAGAAAGCGUAAUAGCUCACUGGUCGAGUCGGCCUGCGCGGAAGAUGUAACGGGGCUAAACCAUGCACCGAAGCUGCGGCAGCGACGCUUAUGCGUUGUUGGGUAGGGGAGCGUUCUGUAAGCCUGUGAAGGUGUGCUGUGAGGCAUGCUGGAGGUAUCAGAAGUGCGAAUGCUGACAUAAGUAACGAUAAAGCGGGUGAAAAGCCCGCUCGCCGGAAGACCAAGGGUUCCUGUCCAACGUUAAUCGGGGCAGGGUGAGUCGACCCCUAAGGCGAGGCCGAAAGGCGUAGUCGAUGGGAAACAGGUUAAUAUUCCUGUACUUGGUGUUACUGCGAAGGGGGGACGGAGAAGGCUAUGUUGGCCGGGCGACGGUUGUCCCGGUUUAAGCGUGUAGGCUGGUUUUCCAGGCAAAUCCGGAAAAUCAAGGCUGAGGCGUGAUGACGAGGCACUACGGUGCUGAAGCAACAAAUGCCCUGCUUCCAGGAAAAGCCUCUAAGCAUCAGGUAACAUCAAAUCGUACCCCAAACCGACACAGGUGGUCAGGUAGAGAAUACCAAGGCGCUUGAGAGAACUCGGGUGAAGGAACUAGGCAAAAUGGUGCCGUAACUUCGGGAGAAGGCACGCUGAUAUGUAGGUGAAGUCCCUCGCGGAUGGAGCUGAAAUCAGUCGAAGAUACCAGCUGGCUGCAACUGUUUAUUAAAAACACAGCACUGUGCAAACACGAAAGUGGACGUAUACGGUGUGACGCCUGCCCGGUGCCGGAAGGUUAAUUGAUGGGGUCAGCGCAAGCGAAGCUCUUGAUCGAAGCCCCGGUAAACGGCGGCCGUAACUAUAACGGUCCUAAGGUAGCGAAAUUCCUUGUCGGGUAAGUUCCGACCUGCACGAAUGGCGUAAUGAUGGCCAGGCUGUCUCCACCCGAGACUCAGUGAAAUUGAACUCGCUGUGAAGAUGCAGUGUACCCGCGGCAAGACGGAAAGACCCCGUGAACCUUUACUAUAGCUUGACACUGAACAUUGAGCCUUGAUGUGUAGGAUAGGUGGGAGGCUUUGAAGUGUGGACGCCAGUCUGCAUGGAGCCGACCUUGAAAUACCACCCUUUAAUGUUUGAUGUUCUAACGUUGACCCGUAAUCCGGGUUGCGGACAGUGUCUGGUGGGUAGUUUGACUGGGGCGGUCUCCUCCUAAAGAGUAACGGAGGAGCACGAAGGUUGGCUAAUCCUGGUCGGACAUCAGGAGGUUAGUGCAAUGGCAUAAGCCAGCUUGACUGCGAGCGUGACGGCGCGAGCAGGUGCGAAAGCAGGUCAUAGUGAUCCGGUGGUUCUGAAUGGAAGGGCCAUCGCUCAACGGAUAAAAGGUACUCCGGGGAUAACAGGCUGAUACCGCCCAAGAGUUCAUAUCGACGGCGGUGUUUGGCACCUCGAUGUCGGCUCAUCACAUCCUGGGGCUGAAGUAGGUCCCAAGGGUAUGGCUGUUCGCCAUUUAAAGUGGUACGCGAGCUGGGUUUAGAACGUCGUGAGACAGUUCGGUCCCUAUCUGCCGUGGGCGCUGGAGAACUGAGGGGGGCUGCUCCUAGUACGAGAGGACCGGAGUGGACGCAUCACUGGUGUUCGGGUUGUCAUGCCAAUGGCACUGCCCGGUAGCUAAAUGCGGAAGAGAUAAGUGCUGAAAGCAUCUAAGCACGAAACUUGCCCCGAGAUGAGUUCUCCCUGACCCUUUAAGGGUCCUGAAGGAACGUUGAAGACGACGACGUUGAUAGGCCGGGUGUGUAAGCGCAGCGAUGCGUUGAGCUAACCGGUACUAAUGAACCGUGAGGCUUAACCUU
rnacentral:rRNA from 1 species